CCCCUAGAUGUUCUGGGCCGCACGCGCGCUACACUGAACAGUUCAACAAGUCUUAACCUUGGCCGAUAGGUCUGGGUAAUCUUUGAACGCUGUUCGUGAUUGGGAUAGACCUUUGCAAUUAUGGGUCUUCAACGAGGAAUUCCUAGUAAACGCAAGUCAUCAGCUUGCAUUGAUUACGUCCCUGCCCUUUGUACACACCGCCCGUCGCACCUACCGAUUGAGUGGUCCGGUGAAAUCUCGGGACGGCGGCUCGGUCGCUUGCGUCCGACUGCUGAAACUUGAUUAAACCAUAUCAUUUAGAGGAAGGUGAAGUCGUAACA
rnacentral:rRNA from 1 species